UACGGGGGGGGCUAGCGUUGUUCGGAAUUACUGGGCGUAAAGGGCGCGUAGGCGGUCUGCUAAGUUGGAUGUGAAAACUCUGGGCUUAACCCAGAGCCUGCAUUCAAUACUGACAGGCUAGAGUUCUGGAGGGGAUAGCGGAAUUCCUGGUGUAGCGGUGAAAUGCGUAGAUAUCAGGAGGAACACCGGUGGCGAAGGCGGCUAUCUGGGCAGUAACUGACGCUGAGGAGCGAAAGCGUGGGGAGCGAACAGG
rnacentral:rRNA from 1 species